rnacentral:lncRNA from 1 species
AUUUCUGAGCAAAAAAAAUAAAGAAAUGCUUAAACAUUUUCAUUGUUGGUAUAAAUAGACUGUAAAAAAACACAAGGACAUAGGCUGAUUGUAAUUUAACACAUCUGUAUUCCCACGUUUUUCCCAGCCUAAUAGGACCCGACAUAUACCACCUGUAAGCAUGGUUUGAAAGAAUAAGGUUUUACUGGUCUUCUUGCAGUGAAUGUGCAGACUACAAAUGAAUUUGCAAUUAUUUCCAGCCCCGACCACCCGCACAAGAAAAAAAAAAGGUCCCUGCUGAAUCUAGUCGAUGAUCCCUGCUCUAGUUGUUCUAAUCAAGUCGAUGAUCCUGCCUUAGUUGUUCUAAUCUAACAGUUUAUGCCUGCUCUCGUUGUUCUAAUUCUGUAGAUUAUCCCUGCUCUAGUUGUUCUAAUCUAGUAGAUGAUCCCUGCUCUAGUUGUUCUAAUCUAGUAGAUGAUCCCUGCUCUAGUUGUUCUAAUCUAGUAGAUGAUCCCUGCUCUAGUUGUUCUAAUCUAGUAGAUGAGCCCUGCUCUAGUUGUGUUAUAAUCUAGUAGAUGAUCCCUGCUCUAGUUGUUCUAACUAGUAUGAUCCCUGCUC